CUCUGCACCAACACAUUCAUUUUCUCUUUCUUCCUCGAGCUUCUUAUAAAUGUUUUUCUUAGGUGUGAUGGUGCAUAACAAUAAAAAGAGCCAAAUAAUUUCGUAAUGUUACAGUAAUAGUAGUAGGGCCGUUGUAGCUGUAGCAAAUGGAAACACGAAAAGAGUCCGCAUAGCAUGCUCCCAUGCCGGAGCAUGGUGAUAAUAGUGAUCUAUCUUCUGAUGUAACAUGAACAACGACCACCACACCCUUGAUCUUCCCCAAGAACCCAAAGUACAUAUUUAUGAAGUCUUGAAAUCCUUGUUAGAAUUUAUACAUUAGAGUAGCUAGCCUUUUAUGAAACCGUAUUAUCACCGAUUUUAUACAAAUGUCAAAAAUACCAAUUUUAAUAUGGGAAAUUUAUAAAUACUCCCAAAAUAAACUAUGUAGACAUCCUUUCCCAAUAUUUUUAGUAUCACACAAUAGACCCAAAGACUGUUUUUUCAUGUAUUUAAUCCAGUAAAAAAAAUUGAGACUAAAUUGCCUCUCUCUUUCUCUCUUUACCUGCUCAUUCUUUCUAAUUCCCUCUCUCUCUACCCACUUUCUCUCUUUCUCUCUCUACCCGCCCUCUCUCUCUAUUGUACUUUCGUAGUUCCAUUAUAAAGUCCACUGUCUCACAUCUAUACCUAUUUUCAUCUCUCACUCUCUUCUUUUAUCUUUACCAUACUUGUGGAAUCCAACACAAAGAGAUUAUCCGACGCCCCUCUUUAUCUUUGCUUACAAAACCUGUUUUUAUUCCCCCUUUUUAAAAUGGCCAUCUCUCCUGAAAACCUUCUUUUGGGCCCAUUACCUCUUAUUUCCCUUUCUUUAAUGGGUAUCUGGGGAAGUAGAAAGAGAGAGAGAGAUUGCGGGUAGAGAGAGAAAGUAGGUAAAGAGAGGGAGUAAGAAGAGAUUGAGAGAGCGAGAGAAAGGGCUAGUAGAGAGUGCAAGAUAGGGUGGGUGGAGAGAAAGAGAGAGAGUGCGAAAGUAAAAAAGCAAUUUAAUCUCACUAUUUUGUACUUUUGACUAGUAGUAAAUACAAAGAAAGCAGUAUUUGAGUCUAUUGUGUGAGGACAUCUACAAAGUUCAUUUGGGUAUUUAUAAUUUUCUCUUUUAAUAUCAACAACACUUAAACACCUUUUAAAGGAGGGAAGUGGGAUUUCGAGUGACAUUAGCACUUUCACAAUGAGAUUUCAACAAGAAUGGUUAAGAAAUGUCUAAAUUUCUAAUGUAGAAAAUAUAAGUAUCGUGUCAAUAUAUAAGGGCACCUACGUCCAUGCUACUUGUGUUAUCACAAUAUCCAUGAUUGGUGUUUUUAUAUGAGAGAGAGAGAGAGAGAGCAGUAGAGGCCAGGGGAUCAUAUGGACGGGGGUUGUUUGCUGAACUCUACAAAAAAUUUGACGUUUUACUGAGAAAAACCAUGCAUAUCGUUCAUUUUUUAACCUCUAAUAUACAAAAAAGGGCAAUGACUUCAUGGUUGUAUAGUAACAUGAUGCAACAAUCUUCAAAAAUUAUGGUAUUGCUAUUUGUUUAAUUCAAAUUUCGAAAUAUACACUCUUUUCAUUCCAAUGAACAAUCACAAAAAAAAAAAUUGAAACUAUAACCUAGAAAGUAUUUUUUUAACCCAAUUAAUAUAGGCCGUUCAUUUUGGUGAAAUGCUUAGAUUUAGGCCUUAAAAAUAUAUUUUCACUUUCAAUUUUUUUGGAUGGUUUUAUUAUCAUUAAAUGGACCAUGUUAAAAAAUAAAAAAAAAAUGUUUUUGAGUUUAUAAAGGCUAAGAUCUUGAAAUUCACCAAAUGAAUGAUCUAGAUUCAUUUUUAGAGGGGUCUCAUUUUGACCAUAUCUAGGGUUCAAAUUGAACUUUUUUUUUUUUUUUAGAUUAAUUAUUAAGAUAAAGAAAGUGUGUAUGCAAAUUGGGAUUGAUUAUUGAGAUAAAGAGAGUGUGUAUGUAAAAUUUUGAGUCAUACAAAUACCACAAACAUAAUUUUCUAGAAGUGUCGUGGCAUUAUACUAGUAUACAACCGUUGCAUGAAAUCACUGCCCUAUAAAAAAUUAGUUGGUUUUCCAAGCUCAUCUUUCGAAUCAUGGGACCCUUUCUUUGAAAGGUAUGAUUUGUAUAGAGGCCCUAAACAAUCAAAGUAGAGCCUACCUUCAAAUAGUGCCGAGAAAUGUAGUCUCAAUAUUGAAAAUCUUUGUGAUAGUCUGAAAAUAUAUUUCCAUCUCUAAUUAUAAGAUUUAAAGCUUUGUGUAAAUCGAGCAUAUCUAUGAAAACUUGAAAAUCUUGAAAAUUACUGGUCUAAAAAUGUAAUACAAGAUGCACUAUUUCCAAAACUUGAAAUCUAUUUUUUUCUCAUGUUCAUGCAUCUUGAUGAUGAGAUGAUCAAUAUGAAGAUAUUUAAGCAUCAAAACAACCUCUACUAGUGAAAUUUUUGAGGUAGGUUCUAAUUUGAUCAAGUAGAGCCUUGGCUCUAUAUAAACUUUUCCCAGUAUAUGAGUAGGAAAAAAAGCAAACACUAGAAAUUAAAGACCAUGAUGGAGAGAGAUGAACCUG
rnacentral:lncRNA from 1 species